rnacentral:rRNA from 1 species
UAGUGUUAUUCGUGAUGACUGGGCGUAGGGUACGUAGGCGGAUAGUCAAAAAUAUAGUAAAAGACUGAGGAUGAACCUCUUUUACGCUAUAUUCACUAACUAUCUUGAGUUUUAAAGGCGAUAGCGAAUCCUUUAAGUAAGGGUUAAAUUGUUGAUAUUAGGAGACGUUCGAAGGCGAAAGCAAUGAUCGAUUUAAAUCUGACGCUAGGUACUAAAGCAUGGGUAUGAAAAGGAUUAGAGACCUUGUAGUCCAUGCUGUAAACUAUGAGUGUUCAACGUCCUUAUGUGGUAUGCCUUAUUUAUAACUAUAACAUAAGACACAAAAGGGGGUUUGAAGCUAACGCGUGAAACACCGCCUGGGGAAUGUGGCCGCAAGGUUAAACUCAAAGGAAUUGACGGAGACUUGUACAAGGGGUGGAGAUGUGGUUUAAUUCGAG